CUGAAGAGUUUGAUCAUGGCUCAGAUUGAACGCUGGCGGCAGGCCUAACACAUGCAAGUCGAGCGGUAGAGAGAAGCUUGCUUCUCUUGAGAGCGGCGGACGGGUGAGUAAUG
rnacentral:rRNA from 1 species